rnacentral:rRNA from 1 species
ACUCCUACGGGAGGCAGCAGUGGGGAAUAUUGCACAAUGGGCGCAAGCCUGAUGCAGCCAUGCCGCGUGUAUGAAGAAGGCCUUCGGGUUGUAAAGUACUUUCAGCAGUGAGGAAGGUGGAUGCGUUAAUAGCGUAUUCAUUUGACGUUAGCUGCAGAAGAAGCACCGGCUAACUCCGUGCCAGCAGCCGCGGUAAUACGGAGGGUGCGAGCGUUAAUCGGAAUUACUGGGCGUAAAGCGCAUGCAGGUGGUUUGUUAAGUCAGAUGUGAAAGCCCGGGGCUCAACCUCGGAAUUGCAUUUGAAACUGGCAGACUAGAGUACUGUAGAGGGGGGUAGAAUUUCAGGUGUAGCGGUGAAAUGCGUAGAGAUCUGAAGGAAUACCGGUGGCGAAGGCGGCCCCUGGACAGAUACUGACACUCAGAUGCGAAAGCGUGGGGAGCAAAACAGGAUUAGAUACCCUGGUAGGAUAGCG